GGGGGUGUAGCUCAGUGGUAAAGUGUGUGCUUAGCAUGCAUAGGACCCUGGGUUCAAUCCCCAGCAUCCCCC
rnacentral:tRNA from 2 species